UACGAAGGGGGCUAGCGUUGUUCGGAAUUACUGGGCGUAAAGCGCACGUAGGCGGAUAUUUAAGUCAGGGGUGAAAUCCCAGAGCUCAACUCUGGAACUGCCUUUGAUACUGGGUAUCUUGAGUAUGGAAGAGGUAAGUGGAAUUGCGAGUGUAGAGGUGAAAUUCGUAGAUAUUCGCAGGAACACCAGUGGCGAAGGCG
rnacentral:rRNA from 1 species